rnacentral:lncRNA from 1 species
ACGUCUUCUCAAGAGAAACCUCUUAACCCUUUACUUACAUGCACCGAACGAUCAUAGUCAAGAAAGAAUCAAAGAAACAUACAAACAAUCACAGAAAAAAGGAUAAGCUAGAAUACAAACAAUUAAUGAUAUAUUUGAACAUUUUAAAUAUUAUACACAUGAUACAUAUAUCACAUCAAUCAAACAAACACUCUAACCAUGAUGAUACUAUGACUGGACUGUUCAAACUUAGAAUGAAUGUCGAGCUAUGACGGGUUGUGCACUUGUGGUGACUUCUACUGUUUUGCAAAGCCAUUGCCAACGGGUUUCACCCUACCACACUCACAAGGUUAGUUUGUUCCACUCCUUGGAUCAUAUUGGAAGCACCCAAGACUAAGACCUCCUACUAAUCUCACCACAUUUGUAAAACCUCUCUACUUGAGAAUGAAUGACCAUUAAAGUGUUAGGAUAAUCCCCAAGACUGAGCUCCUUGCAUUCAUACACAUACAACUUGAAACCACACUAAGAAUUUCCACCUUGGAACCAACUUCCCG